CAUGGCCAUGGAAAUGUAUAAAGCUAGCUGGCAAACGUAUAAAGCUAGCUGGCUUUUGCAGAAAGUCAGCCUCCUGCCCUUGGCCUCAUUAACUCACUGCUCCAUCCAACAGAGCCAACUAGCCACAGGCAAGCAGCUCCUGAAAUAGCCUGGUAAGCUGACCUGCAUAUCACAGCCCCUGGCUUUUGGCCCUAAUGAGGAUUGCUAUUGUCCUUGAAUUUAGCUCGAUUCUUCUCAGCAGGCUGCCCUUUCAGGACGUGUCUUAUCAGCAGUCACUGCCCCAACAAGGUAUCAACCCCUGAUAAAUACCAUGCACAUUAGAUUCCAACUUUUCCUUCCAAGACAACUCCUGAAAACGUCCACAACCAUAGAACUUCAAUGUCCUGGAAGAAUGCAGAAGAACCCCAACAAUCAAGAACCCUAGGCAGAAAGGGCUAUGGUAUGUGGGAGAGAAUAAGGGCAGAGAAUCUGACAUUUUCACUCUCAGACACAGAGACUAUUCAACUGUAAAAGUCAACUGGUACACAGAGCCACGCUGAUGAUAUUUUGACUUGUUAACGGAGAGAAGAGGAAAUAGAUUACAGGUAACCACAGACACCAGGAAGAGUGCAAGGAGUGAUGGGCAACACCAAGUUGUGCAAACAUUUAUGCAAAUAUUUUCUCUUUUCUUGGCAGGGAUGUUUUUGUCACCUUCUGGCCUCAGCUGCCUGGCUAGGCUCUUCCUACCUAGGCUUUUCUUUGUGGCUGCAAUUUGAUGAGAAUAAUAUAUAACUGAUGGAAGGGCUCUCUAGGUGCAGUUUUCUUAGAUUAAAUAUGGAUUUUGGUGAAGAUGUGCUUUUUCAGUUAAAAAAAAAUCCUAUUCCUAGAAAUAAGCUUUGUCCUUAACUAUAGGUCAGAGGUGAUCCACCCGCUCUAGGAAAAUCCACCUCCACAUUUCAGUGUGGGCCAUAUAUGCCCAUCCUACUCAGGUGUGCAUCAAGAUGGAGCACACCACUUUACCACUUCUUGAAGUUUCCAAGGGAGAAUGGUUUGGGACAGGUGUUUGUACAGGAAGAUAGAAGGUAGUCGGAGAGUCAUCUUCUCUGAUAGUCAUAGUCCUCUCUGUGUGACAGCUCUGCCACAUCCACGUCGCAUACUUCUUUACACUUCAUCACACCUGUUCACACAUAGGAGAAUUGACGAAUCAAUUAACAGCAUCCUGCUGGUGCUCACACAUCACUUUGCAUCAAAUCAGCAAUUCUUUUGAUGGGGGCUGACGUUUACCAUCCUUGUUGGAAACUUUCCAAGGCAUGAAUUAAAAUACAACCAAACUUAACUAUGAAAUCAUUGAGAGGAUUGGUAAAGGCCACAAACAUUUAAAGUUUCAAGUGGGAAUGAAAUCUGCUUGCUUAUUUUAAUGCGA
rnacentral:lncRNA from 10 species